AUGUUGGAUGUCUUGUUUGUCUAUUUCUAUGUCCGGCCUGAUAUGGUUCUCAAUCAGAGGCAGGUGUUAGUCAUUGUCUCUGAUUGGGAACCAUAUUUAGGUAGCCUGGGUUUCACUGUGUGUUUGUGGGUGAUUGUCCUUAGUGUUAGUUUGCACCAGUUUAGGCUGUUUCGGUUUUCAUUACGUUUAUUAUUUUGCACUGUUUGUAUUUGGAUUCAUGUUGCUAUAGUCACAAUAAACAUGGAUCGCAAUCUACACGCCGCAUUUUGGUCCGACUCUCCUUCACACCUAGAAGACCGUUACAGAAUCACCCACCACAACAGGACCAAGCGGUGUGGUAAUGGGCAAAGGAGAAAGCAGCAGCAGGAGCAGCGCGAGGAGGUAUGGACAUGGGAGGACGAAUUAGACGGUAAAGGACCUUGGGCUCAGCCAGGAGAAUAUCGCCGUCCCAAGGAAGAACGGGAGGCGGCGAAAGCGGAGAGGCGCUGGUACGAGGAGGCAGCGCGGCGUCGUGGAUGGAAGCCCGGGAGUCAGCCCCAAAAAUUUCUUGGGGGGGGGCUAACAGGGAGUAUGGCUACGCCAGGUAGGAGACCUGAGCCAACUUCCUGUGGUUACCGGGGGGCUAGAGAGACCGGGCAGGCACCGUGUUAUGCUGUGGAGCGCACGGUGUCCCCAGUGCGGGUGCACAGCCCGGUGCGGUACAUUCCAGCUCCGCGUAUCGGCCGGGCUAGAGUGGGCAUCGAGCCAAGUGCCAUGAAGCCGGCUCUACGCAUCUGGUCUCCAGUGCGUCUCCUUGGGCCGGCUUACAUGGCACCAGCCUUGCGCACGGUGUCCCCGGUUCGCCUGCAUAGCCCAGUGCGGGCUAUUCCACCUCGCCGCACUGGCAGGGCGACCGGGACCAUUCAACCGGGUAAGGUUGGGCAGGCUCGGUGCUCAAGAGCUCCAGUGCGCCUGCACGGCCCGGUCUAUCCGUCACCACCUCCACACCCCAGCCCUCCGGUGGCAGCUCCCCGUACCAAGCUGUCUCUCCGGCCCAUCCGUCCAGAGCCUUCCUCCUCUCCAGCGCUGCCGGAGCCUCCCGCCUGUCCGGCGCCUCUGCCGGAGCCUCCCGCCUGUCCGGCGCCUCUGCCGGAGCCUCCCGCCUGUCCGGCGCCUCUGCCGGAGCCUCCCGCCUGUCCGGCGCCUCUGCCGGAGCUUCCCGUCUGCCCGGCGCCUCUGCCGGAGCUUCCCGUCUGCCCGGCGCCAUCGGAGCUUCCCGUCUGCCCAACGCCGCCAGUGCCGCCCGUCUGCCCAGCGCCGCCAGUGCCGCCCGUCUGCCCAGCGCCGCCAGUGCCGCCCGUCUGCCCAGCGCCGCCAGUGCCGCCCGUCUGCCCAGCGCCGCCAGCGCCGCCCGUCUGCCCAGCGCCGCCAGCGCCGCCCGUCUGCCCAGCGCCGCCAGCGCCGCCCGUCUGCCAGGAGCCGCCAGCGCCGCCCGUCUGCCAGGGGCCGCCAGUGCCGCCAGUCAGCCAGGGGCCUCCAGUGCCGCCAGUCAGCCAGGGGCCGCCAGUGCCGCCAGUCAGCCCAGCGCCAGCGCCGCCAGUCAACCAGGGGCCGCCAGAGCUGCCAGUCUGCAAGGAGCUACCAGUCUGCAAGGAGCCGCCAGAGCUGCCAGUUAGCAUGGAGCAGCCAGGGUCGCCAGUCAGCAUGGAGCAGCCAGGGCCGCCAGUCAGCAUGGAGCAGCCAGGGCCGCCAGUCAGCAUGGAGCAGCCAGGGCCGCCAGUCAGCAUGGAGCAGCCAGUGCUGCCAGUCAGCAUGGAGCAGCCAGAUCUGCCAGUCGACCAGACUCUUCCAGAUCUGCCAGUCGACCAGACUCUUCCAGAUCUGCCAGUCGACCAGACUCUUCCAGAUCUGCCAGUCGACCAGACUCUUCCAGAUCUGCCAGUCGACCAGACUCUUCCAGAUCUGCCAGGCUGCCAGACUCUUCCAGAUCUGCCAGUCAGCCAGACUCUUCCAGAUCUGCCAGUCAGCCAGGAUCUGCCAGAACCGCCAGCCAGCCAGGAUCUGCCGGAUCUAACUACCUGCCUGAGCUUCCUCUCAGUGCUGUGCUACCCAUCAGUCCCGAGCUACUUCUGUCCCGAGCUGCCCCUCUGUCUCGAGCUGACCCUCUGUCCCGAGCUGUCAUUAAGAAGGGUCACCUAUCUAGGGACGCUAAGGAGGUGGACUAAAACUGUUAUGGAGUGGGGUCCACGUCCAGCGCCAGAGCCGCCACCGCGGACAGAUGCCCACCCACACCCUCCCCCAUAG
rnacentral:lncRNA from 1 species